rnacentral:rRNA from 1 species
GUACGGCCGCAAGGUUAAAACUCAAAUGAAUUGACGGGGGCCCGCACAAGCGGUGGAGCAUGUGGUUUAAUUCGAUGCAACGCGAAGAACCUUACCUGGUCUUGACAUCCACGGAAGUUUUCAGAGAUGAGAAUGUGCCUUCGGGAGCCGUGAGACAGGUGCUGCAUGGCUGUCGUCAGCUCGUGUUGUGAAAUGUUGGGUUAAGUCCCGCAACGAGCGCAACCCUUAUCCUUUGUUGCCAGCGGUCCGGCCGGGAACUCAAAGGAGACUGCCAGUGAUAAACUGGAGGAAGG